GUGAAGGAAAGUGAUAAAUUAGUUGCAACCAGUAAAAUAACGCCACAAGACAAACAGAACAUGGUGAAACGUGUCAGCACCAUGGCUUAUGCACUACAAGCUGAGAUGAAUCACUUCCACAGUAACCGGAUUUAUGACUACAACAGUGUCAUUCGUCUGUAUCUGGAGCAGCAGGCACAGUUUUAUGAAACGAUUGCACAGAAGCUGAGGCAGGCACUCAGCCGCUUUCCUGUCAUGUAGAGAAUAA